rnacentral:rRNA from 1 species
AAUGAACGCUGGCGGCGCGCCUAAUACAUGCAAGUCGAGCGAGAAGACGUAGCAAUACGUUUGUAAAGCGGCGAACGGGUGAGGAAUACAUGGGUAACCUACCCUCGAGUGGGAGUAACUAGCCGAAGGUUAGCUAAUACCGCGUACGCUCCUUGGACUUCGGUUCAGGGAGGAAAGACGAUACCGUGGGUAUCGCGCUCUUGGUUGGGCGUCAUGUCCUAUCAGCUUGUUGGUGAGGAACGGCUCACCAAGGCUUCGACGGGUAGCUGGUCUGAGAGGACGAUCAGCCACACUGGCACUGCGACACGGGCCAGACUCCUACGGGAGGCAGCAGUAAGGAAUAUUGCGCAAUGGGCGAAAGCCUGACGCAGCGACGCCGCGUGGGGGAGUGAAGGUC